rnacentral:rRNA from 1 species
UACAGAGGGUGCGAGCGUUAAUCGGAAUUAUUGGGCGUAAAGAGCGUGUAGGCGGCCAGACAGGUCCGUUGUGAAAACUAGAGGCCUAACCUCUAGACGUCGAUGGAAACCGUCUGGCUAGAGUCCGGAAGAGGAGAAUGGAAUUCCUGGUGUAGCGGUGAAAUGCGCAGAUAUCAGGAAGAACACCCGUGGCUAAGGCGGUUCUCUAGUACGGUACUGACGCUGAGACGCGAAAGCGUGGGGAGCGAACAGG